rnacentral:rRNA from 1 species
GAUGAACGCUAGCGAUAGGCUUAACACAUGCAAGUCGAGGGGCAGCAUGGUCUUAGCUUGCUAAGACUGAUGGCGACCGGCGCACGGGUGCGUAACGCGUAUGCAACUUGCCUCACAGAGGGGGAUAACCCGUCGAAAGACGGACUAAUACCGCGUACACUUGGGAUAGGGCAUCCUGACCCAAGGAAAUGAACUUCGCUGUGAGAUAGGCAUGCGUCCCCUUAGCUAGUUGGUGAGGUAACGGCUCACCAAGGCGACGAUGGGUAGGGGAACUGAGAUGGUGACACCACACACUGGAACUGAGGCACUGACCAGACAAGUACGAGAGGAAGCAGUGAGGAAUAUUGGUCAAUGGGCGAGAGCCUGAAGCAGACAAGUCGCGUGAAGGACGACUGUCUUAUGGAUGGUAAACUUCUUUUGUGCGGGAAUAACCAGAGCUACGUGUGGCUCCCUGCAUGUACCGGAUGAAUAAGCAUCGGCUCCCUCCGUG